GCAAGAACAGGAGCAUCCCUGCCCAGAGGCUCCUGGACAGUGAGCCAAGUGUUCAGUGGGGAGAAGUAUAGGGCAGACACUUGGUAGAGGUCACUUGUGAGAACCAGGGACUGGGCAAUAGGAAGCAGCCUUGUUCUAUGUGGACACUUUUAGCUCAGAUCGGGCUGCUUUGAUAACUCGGUAGCCUGGAGAACUUUCACCUUUGUCCUAUCAUAGGUGGGACCACCUUGAGUCCUGAUGCUUAGGGAGGGGCUGACCAGGAGAAAGUCACAGGGAGCCAGCUUGGCCCCAGAUGGGAGAUUGGAGAAGCACACGGGGCAUGCUUCUGCUCCCUUCAGUUAAAGAGAAAGCAGGAGUCUAGUUAGCUACUCGUGUUGUAGUAAAACUGGGGUCUGUAGUCCCCAAAUCCACUUCUCCUUCCUGCUGAGAGCAGAAUCUAGUCAUAGAUGCUAGUGACCAAGCAUAAUGAACAUCCUCCUGAUCCCCAGCCCGAGGCACAGCAUGAGGGUAUCGUCAACAUUAUGGGUCGCCCUCCACAAGCUGAAGGUGAGAGCCUAUGGCUGAAGAUAGCACCUACUUAUGUCAUAGAACAUGGAGAGACCGACCUGGCACUCAUCUGGAAGCUUCACCUCGACUGACUAGCACCUCAAUUGGAAGGCACUAUGGAGGAAAGAGGUGCUGGAAGAAUCGAAGAUGCAUGCCAGUGCACCUGUCUAGUGAUGCCUUUUCUAUUAGUCUUAAUUUAAUUAACCAUGUGCUUGCCAACAUACACACAAAUUUACUUAGUCAAUUUCUACAAAUCAUUCAGAUUUAUAUUAA